AACUUUGAAGCCCAUGUCUGGCCCAUGUCUAACGCCGGCUUAAGAACCAAGUUGUUGCAAAGUUAGCUACUUUACUUUAUAAUACUUUUUAAAUACAAUAAUUGCUCGUAAACGGACUUUUAGCUACCGAAAACCGAAACAAAUAAGUAUUGUUCAUAAUCCAUAGAUCGUCGUACAUAAAACAUGUCAGCAAAUACGCCCGAUCCACAAGACCAAUUUGAUCAGUUUGACGAUGAUGAAUCGGAGCAACAAUUAGAAACCACCUCGUCCAGUCGAAAGAGAUUGUUCAGUAAAGAACUAAGAUGUAUGAUGUAUGGCUUUGGAGAUGACCAGAACCCUUACACGGAAAGUGUAGAUUUUCUGGAGGAUCUUGUCAUUGAAUUCAUUACUGAAACUACUCACAGAGCAAUGGAGGUAGGCCGUCCAGGUCGUGUACAAGUAGAGGAUAUCAUAUUUCUUGUUCGUAAAGAUGCCAGAAAAUAUGCCAGGGUGAAGGACCUGUUAACCAUGAAUGAAGAGUUGAAAAAAGCUAGGAAAGCUUUUGAUGAAGUCAAAUAUGCAGAAGACCAACAAUAAUAAUAUAACUAGCCAAAGAACAUCAUGCUUCUGAGAAUGCAAAGUGAGCUAAUGAGAAGACUGAUGGUUUAAUGUCGUGUACACUGAACUAAAAAGAUAUAGUGGAAUUCGUGAGAAAUGUUGAGGGUACAAUUUCACGAUAUAAAUUCUAUUCAAUAAUUAAGACUUAUUAAAAUAUUAUAAAUUAAC